UGCGCAGGCGGUUUUGUAAGUCAGAUGUGAAAUCCCCGGGCUUAACCUGGGAACUGCGUUUGAAACUACAAGGCUAGAGUGUGGCAGAGGGGGGUGGAAUUCCACGUGUAGCAGUGAAAUGCGUAGAGAUGUGGAGGAACACCGAUGGCGAAGGCAGCCCCCUGGGUUAACACUGACGCUCAGGCACGAAAGCGUGGGGAGCAAACAGGAUUAGAUACCCUGGUAGUCCACGCCCUAAACGAUGUCAACUAGUUGUCGGGUCUUAACGGACUUGGUAACGCAGCUAACGCGUGAAGUUGACCGCCUGGGGAGUACGGUCGCAAGAUUAAA
rnacentral:rRNA from 1 species